rnacentral:rRNA from 1 species
GUACACAAAAAUGCACAUGCUGUGAGCUCGAUGAGUAGGGCGGGACACGUGGUAUCCUGUCUGAAUAUGGGGGGACCAUCCUCCAAGGCUAAAUACUCCUGACUGACCGAUAGUGAACCAGUACCGUGAGGGAAAGGCGAAAAGAACCCCGGCGAGGGGAGUGAAAAAGAACCUGAAACCGUGUACGUACAAGCAGUGGGAGCACGCUUAGGCGUGUGACUGCGUACCUUUUGUAUAAUGGGUCAGCGACUUAUAUUCUGUAGCAAGGUUAACCGAAUAGGGGAGCCGAAGGGAAACCGAGUCUUAACUGGGCGUUAAGUUGCAGGGUAUAG